rnacentral:misc_RNA from 1 species
CACCACUCAAGCCUGGCUUGGUGUUGGGCGACGUCCCCUUUGGGGACGCGCCUCGAAACGCUCGGCGGCGUGGCACCGGCUUUAAGCGUAGCAGAAUCUUUCGCUUUGGAAGUCGGGGCCCCGUCUGCCGGAAGACCUACUCGCAA